rnacentral:rRNA from 1 species
AACGAACGCUGGCGGCAUGCCUAACACAUGCAAGUCGAACGGGAUCUUCGGGUCUAGUGGCGCACGGGUGCGUAACGCGUGGGAAUCUGCCCUUUGGUUCGGAAUAACAGUUGGAAACGACUGCUAAUACCGGAUGAUGACGAAAGUCCAAAGAUUUAUCGCCAGAGGAUGAGCCCGCGUAGGAUUAGCUAGUUGGUGUGGUAAAGGCGCACCAAGGCGACGAUCCUUAGCUGGUCUGAGAGGAUGAUCAGCCACACUGGGACUGAGACACGGCCCAGACUCCUACGGGAGGCAGCAGUGGGGAAUAUUGGACAAUGGGCGAAAGCCUGAUCCAGCAAUGCCGCGUGAGUGAUGAAGGCCUUAGGGUUGUAAAGCUCCUUUACCCGGGAUGAUAAUGACAGUACCGGGAGAAUAAGCUCCGGCUAACUCCGUGCCAGCAGCCGCAGUAA